GUAGUCUCCCAUCCAAGUACUAACCAAGCCCAGCCCUGCUUAGCUUCCGAGAUCAGACGAGGUCGGGCGUGCUCAGGGUGGUAUGGCCGUAAGCUGCUGGCCCCAGCACAAUGUCUCAAUUUAUGGAUUCAACUGAUUAGGUGGCAAGUACCUGAAGUUACGAAGACAAUCCUUUAACCAUACCUGCAUGUUUGCAUAAUACCCUAACCCAAAGGCUCAGUUUAGCAUUUAUCUAACAGCACAGGCCCUGGAUUGUUGAAGAUGGCCUCAGGAACCAGCACAGGGCCUGGUGUGUUGUACAUGGCCACAGCUAGCAGCCACAGGCCCUGGUGUGGUGUAAGUGGCCUCAGCCAGCAGCCACAGGCCCUGGUGUGGUGUAAGUGGCCUCAGCCAGAGCCACAGGCCCUGGUGUGGUGUAAGUGGCCUCAGCCAGAGCCACAGGCCCUGGUGUGGUGUAAGUGGCCUCAGCCAGUGCCACAGGCCCUGGUGUGGUGUAAGUGGCCUGAGCAAGAGCCACAGACCCUGGUGUGGUGUAAUUGGCCUCAAUAGCAACUAAUGCCCUGGUGUGGUGUAGGUGGCCUCAGCCAGCAGCCACAGGCCCUGGUGUGGUGUAAUUGGCCUCAAUAGCAACUAAGGCCCUGGUGUGGUGUAGGUGGCCUCAGCCAGCAGCCACAGGCCCUGGUGUGGUGUAAGUGGCCUCAAUAGCAACUAAGGCCCUGGUGUGGUGUAAGUGGCCUCAGCCAGCAGCCACAGGCCCUGG
ensembl:lncRNA